AAGGCAAGUCACUGGUUCGAAUCUUCGAUGAUGGCACGUUGGUAUUCCAGUCCUUUGCACAGUCACUUCUACAGAGCAUCCUAUCCAGCGUAGAGAGCAGAGACCUUGUGGUGGUGACUGCCUGGGCUGACACGCUGCUGGAUGUUCUCGAGCUUCUACCAAGGGCCACGAUAUUGCAGCAGGUAUUGCCAGUGGCGGUGCAGAAGGGCCAGGUGUCCUAGUCACCCCUGUC
rnacentral:lncRNA from 1 species